rnacentral:tRNA from 1 species
GCGGACAUAGUUUAAUGGUAAAAUUCCAGCUUCCCAAGCUGGCCUUGCGGGUUCGAUUCCCGUUGUCCGCUCCA